AGCGUAGGUGGCCUAACAUGUCAACUGUGAAAACCCGGAGCUCAACUCCGGACUUGCAGUUGAAACUGGUAGGCUUGAGGACGGUAGAGGAAGACGGAACUGCCAGUGUAGGGGUAAAAUCCUUAGAUAUUGGCAGGAACGCCGGUGACGAAGGUGGUUUUCUGGGCCGGUUCUGACACUGAUGCUCGAAAGCCAGGGGAGCGAAC
rnacentral:rRNA from 1 species